AUUGAACGCUGGCGGCAUGCUUUACACAUGCAAGUCGAACGGCAGCGCGGGGCAACCUGGCGGCGAGUGGCGAACGGGUGAGUAAUAUAUCGGAACGUACCCAAGAGUGGGGGAUAACGUAGCGAAAGUUACGCUAAUACCGCAUACGAUCCAAGGAUGAAAGCGGGGGAUCGCAAGACCUCGUGCUCCUGGAGCGGCCGAUAUCUGAUUAGCUAGUUGGUGAGGUAAAGGCUCACCAAGGCGACGAUCAGUAGCUGGUCUGAGAGGACAACCAGCCACACUGGAACUGAGACACGGUCCAGACUCCUACGGGAGGCAGCAGUGGGGAAUUUUGGACAAUGGGCGCAAGCCUGAUCCAGCAAUGCCGCGUGAGUGAAGAAGGCCUUCGGGUUGUAAAGCUCUUUUGUCAGGGAAGAAACGGUAGAGGCUAAUAUCCUUUGCUAAUGACGGUACCUGAAGAAUAAGCACCGGCUAACUACGCGCCAGCAGCCGCGGUAAUACGUAGGGUGCAAGCGUUAAUCGGAAUUACUGGGCGUAAAGCGUGCGCAGGCGGUUUUGUAAGUCUGUCGUGAAAGCCCCGGGCUCAACCUGGGAAUUGCGAUGGAGACUGCAAGGCUUGAAUCUGGCAGAGGGGGGUAGAAUUCCACGUGUAGCAGUGAAAUGCGUAGAGAUGUGGAGGAACACCGACGGCGAAGGCAGCCCCCUGGGUCAAGAUUGACGCUCAUGCACGAAAGCGUGGGGAGCAAACAGGAUUAGGUACCCUGGUAGUCCACGCCCUAAACGAUGUCUACUAGUUGUCGGGUUUUAAUUAACUUGGUAACGCAGCUAACGCGUGAAGUAGACCGCCUGGGGAGUACGGUCGCAAGAUUAAAACUCAAAGGAAUUGACGGGGACCCGCACAAGCGGUGGAUGAUGUGGAUUAACUCGAUGCAACGCGAAAAACCUUACCUACCCUUGACAUGUCAGGAAGUCCGGAGAGAUCUGGAUGUGCCCGAAAGGGAACCUGAACACAGGUGCUGCAUGGCUGUCGUCAGCUCGUGUCGUGAGAUGUUGGGUUAAGUCCCGCAACGAGCGCAACCCUUGUCAUUAGUUGCUACGCAAGAGCACUCUAAUGAGACUGCCGGUGACAAACCGGAGGAAGGUGGGGAUGACGUCAAGUCCUCAUGGCCCUUAUGGGUAGGGCUUCACACGUCAUACAAUGGUACAUACAGAGGGCCGCCAACCCGCGAGGGGGAGCUAAUCCCAGAAAGUGUAUCGUAGUCCGGAUCGCAGUCUGCAACUCGACUGCGUGAAGUUGGAAUCGCUAGUAAUCGCGGAUCAGCAUGCCGCGGUGAAUACGUUCCCGGGUCU
rnacentral:rRNA from 1 species